CAAGCCCAUCUCUGUGUGCUUGCAUCCAACUGUGAUGAGUCCAUGUAUGUCAAGCUAGUGGAGGCGCUUUGUGCUGAGCACCAGAUCAACCUGAUAAAGGUUGAUGGCAACAAGAAACUAGGGGAAUGGGUAGGCCUCUGUAAAAUCGAUUGAGAGGGGAAACCAGGGAAAGUGGUUGGUUGCAGUUGUGUGGUGGUUAAGGACUAUGGCAAAGAAUCUCAGGCCAAGGAUGUCAUCGAGGAAUACUUCAAAUGCAAGAAAUGAAUAAAUAAAAUUUUGGCUCA
rnacentral:lncRNA from 1 species